UACGUAGGGUGCAAGCGUUGUCCGGAAUUAUUGGGCGUAAAGAGCUCGUAGGCGGUCUGUUGCGUCGGCUGUGAAACCCGGGGCUCAACUCCGGGCCUGCAGCCGAUACGGGCAGACUAGAGUUCGGCAGGGGAGACUGGAAUUCCUGAUGUAGCGGUGAAAUGCGUAGAUAUCGAGAGGAACACCUGCGGCGAAGGCGGGUUGCUGGGCUGACACUGACGCUGAGGCGCGAAAGCCAGGGAGGCGAACGGG
rnacentral:rRNA from 1 species